GUCAAUUGGACCGAGUCACUGUCCUAGUGAGAUCAACUGUGAUAGUCAGACAUUCCCUUAAAAUAUUGUGGCUACGAAUAACUGAGGUUAGUAUCGUUGUGAUGCAAAAACUUUUCGGUCAAAAUGGAGCUUCGUAACGUAUCCAAAGGCGUGUCGUGUUGGCCCUAAGAGAAACUGAAGACUGUGACCAAUUUCUGCUGCCUUUUACUUGGCCCCAGAGCCGGCGAAUUCUGACAGUGUGAGGUUAUGCAGAUGCAAUGCUGCUGGAGGGAUGGCUUUCCAUGUGUAUUAUAAUUCAACUACCUGGCUUUUCCAGGAGGAAGAUGGAAGAGGGAUUUUGUCCGCAAUUUUGAGGAAAUUUAAAUACCGUGCCGAUGAAGGGAUUGCAUACCAGGCGUAUUAUUCAACUGCCUGGCUUUCCAGGAGGAAAAGUGCGGAGAUUCAUGCACUAAGAGAUGUUUCCAGCUUAUGCCUUGUACAAUAGGCUUUCAUUAACCAGUGCUAGCUUUUCCAGGACGACAAUGGAAGAGAUUCUGGAACAAAGGGAGGUUUCCAGCCUAGGCCUAAUGCAAUAGGCAUACAUUAACCGAUAUUGGAGUUUCCGGGAGCAAAGUCGAAGAGAUUCUGGAACUAAAAUUAAGUAAGAUUUCUGAUGAAGACCUGAAGUCGUGGACCUUCCACGAUCUUAUCAAAUCGGCAUGGGAGCAGAAAAAACUUGCAUAUGCUCUAGAACAGUUGUUGGAGUAGAUCGAGAAGCAUUCACAUCUAGCUACCUCUUAUCUGGACUGAACCCAGUGACCAUAAUCUUUGCAUUAACAGGAGGCUCCCUGGUUAUGCACCUGGUGAGCUUCAUUGUAAUUAGGAAUGGUAAUGCGUCACCAAUUAAAAGUGUUGAAAGGUUAUGGUUAUGUGGUACUGUUGUCAGCACAAAAAUGGAACACACUAAGAGGAGGAAUACUGCCACUUGCCAUUUCAAGAAUAUUAUGGAAACUAUUUUUUUAUUUUAUUGUUAAACGGGUACUGUUCAACACAAGAAAAAUGGAACACGCUAAGAAGAGUAACACUGCCACGUGCCAUUUCAAGAAUAUUAUGGAAAAUAUUAUUUUAUUAGUUGUUAAAAAUUGUUCCUCCAAUGGAUUAGAAAAUCUUCUAGGUACCUCCACCCAUUUAACUUCAUGUAUUUGAAUGUGCAUCCAAAUGAGUAAGAGACCUUUUCAUUUUCACUUGUGCCAGGCCUCUAUGAGACUUGAACAGGUGGCGAAACUAGCAAAAAUCUUUGGUUAUCAGUUGGUAGGUUCUCCUCUAGUUAGUUGGGUUCCCUGUCUUCCCUGUUAUGUGAUCUUUACACUAUGGUAUCUCAUGUAGUGUGAUCGUUUUCCAGAGUACUGUUGUGACUUAUUUUGUCCUCUUAACUUUGCUCAGCAAUCUCGAGAAAUCUUCAAGGUGAUAUUCUUUUUCGUUGUGGAAACUCAACUACUGAUGGUAGCUGGAUAGUGAUAAAGCAGCUACUAAACUUCAAUAUUUAGUGUUUUCGUUCUGGGAGGAAUUCCUUUAUGCACUGAUGAGUUAUGUUUUCUAGUGUCUUGUAUAUAUUUUCAUAUACGUUUUUGAAAUAUUUAUCUGAGUUUGUCUACAUUUUCUCUUGCUUUCUUCGAAGGUGCUAGUCUCUGUAAUACUGUAAUUUAUAACUGCCUGUCAGCAGGAAGCAGGUCGGGUACUUGAUUGCUGGUAUGAGGUUAGUACUUUUCAAUAAGAAAUCCAUUUACCCGUUUUUGUGAGUAGUGGAAUGUUCCUGCUAUCAGAGACGGCAAGAAAUACCCGAGUUGAAUGGAGAGUAGCGAAUGGUGCCAAAAUGAAGCCUAUAUUUGCAAUAGAAAUAGAGGAACUAUUAGAGCUAGAUAAGUUUUUUCAGGUCUCUUUGGUUUUGAGUUGUUGGUCUAGAGAAUCUAUUUAUCGUUUAUUACGCAUCAUUAGAUUGUUUUUGUGUUUCAGGUCUCUUUGGUUUUGAGUUGUUGGUCUAGAGAAUCUAUUUAUCGUUUAUUACGCAUCAUUAGAUUGUUUUUGUGUUGCCCGUUCUCUUUAAAUAUAAGAUACGAAUUCAGGGCAGUUUAUUAGAAAUAGUAUUCAAUUAACAUUUGAAGCAUUGGAUUAUUUGUCAUGCUGUAGUCACGUACCUAAUAACCUAGCUUAAUUAAGUUAGCUGAAAGCUCUUUGAAUGGACAUAGGUUACGUACCUAAUAACCUAACUUUAGUUAGAGCUGAUUUAAUGGACAUAGGUGGUCUUCUUCUUCUUCUUCUCUGGAGUAAUUAAAAUUUCUUUUUUUUUCACAUUGAGGUCUUUGGCGUUUCCUUGGAGUAAGUAGGAACACUUAAGUAUCAAAGUACAUUACAAGAUAGCGGCAUUUUAAAGACUAACACCUUUAAUUUCUUGCACAUUUCAAAUUGGAACUGGUGUCUAUAUGAGGAGGCUGAUAAACUGUGGAAUUAUUUUUCUGACCGCAUUGAUGCCAAUAUUCUUACGCUAGAAAGGAAGUGUAAUAAUCCUUCGGAGCAGCCUCAUUACCUUGGGUUUUAUGUUGAUGUAGUGUUCAUAUUCCUUUGAUGAUUGUAUUUUUGAUAUUGCAGUCACUUGGUUUUCUGACUUUUUAUCCAUAAAUGGGCCUUUAUGCUAUGAAAGCUUGCUUAUUAGGCAUUGCCCUUUCAAGCCUACUUCACGAGAAUGUUAGAUCAUUUUUAUCAUCAGAAGGUGUCUCUCUCUUUAUUACCUUUGAAGCAACAGUGAAGAAAAGGUUUACAGUAUUUAUAGUCACUUAGUUUUAAAAGUCAUAGGUUUUCUGGAUAUAAAGCUCUCCAAUUUUAAUGGGGACUUCCCUCCUCCCACUUCCUUCGAUUGCUACACACAUCUAUUCUGCAGAAAUAUGUAGGAUGAAGGAAGUUUGAGAGAUGAGAGACUGCCCCAUUAGCAGGUGGAGACUCCAGUUACCAGUAACACCACUCUGUAAUAGUUUAAAUAGCUAUUUGGCUGAUCUUCUAUUGAAGCAUCUAGGCACAAGUGAAAAAAAGUUUUGUUUUCAUUAAGCAAAAGGUGCAUCUCGUGAAAGCACAGGUUUACAUGACAAUUCACUGGGUUGCUUUGCUUAUGUGAUUGUGCAAGUGCCAUCUGCUGAGCAGUUGUUUUAACAAAUAUGACAUUUUUGUAUACUCACUUUCAUCUUAUCUUUCUUUCUAAGACUCGGGUUUAUGUAAGUUUCACCGUGAAGUGUGUUUUGGCCGUAUGUUAGCUUUUUAUGAAGUAUUGUUUUCAAGAAGCAGAAUUAUAUAAUAUUCUUAGAGUUGCCAUGCUGAAACUCUAACGAAGUGUUAAGAGUUACAAAACAUUAUUUGUGAUUUAUGAAGUAGAUGGUAGGUUUCACUAUAAAACAUUGUGAUAUAAGUACAUAAUUGGCAAAUUUUGAAAUUGAAGUCAGGUUGCAAAUCAGACCACCUUUCCCAAUUUGAUUCACUCCAGAUCAAUAAUAAUAUCACCUUUUAUGCAUUCUAUCUGUUACAUUACUAUACAAUCUUGGACCACGACAAUUAGACCUCGGCAAUUUAAUUGGUUGCAUUAUACCUUCGUACAUAACUGCACUGUGAAAGUUUUCUUGGAUUCUUGAUAAACUCUGGGUCUAAUGGCCUUCACGUAAUCUACUUUGCCUUAUAAUCUUUUUCUCAUUACAUGUACAGACCAUAUCUUUGAGAUGUCAAUCAAUUUCUCAUCUUGAAUACCACAUUCUCUCUCUCUCUCUCUCUCUACCUUCCUCACUCGCUCUUCAGUCAUAUUUAUGUUGUCUAGACAUGAUUCAGUAUGUCCAUUUUCUUUACAUUAAUGUGUGUACAGUAAAA